rnacentral:rRNA from 1 species
GAUCAUGGCUCAGGAUGAACGCUGGCGGCGUGCCUAACACAUGCAAGUCGAGCGAAGCACUUUGCUUAGAUUCUUCGGAUGAAGAGGAUUGUGACUGAGCGGCGGACGGGUGAGUAACGCGUGGGUAACCUGCCUCAUACAGGGGGAUAACAGUUAGAAGUGACUGCUAAUACCGCAUAAGACCACAGCACCGCAUGGUGCGGGGGUAAAAACUCCGGUGGUACGAGAUGGACCCG